GGCAUAAUCAUCUAAGUUGAAUGGUUAUGAUCAUCUCAACCAUUCAACUUGGAUUGUUGUGUCGUUGACUGUCUGCGGCAUGACCACUCAACUUGGAUGGUUAUGCCGUUGACAGCCGGUCUUCGGCAUAACCAUUCAAACAUAUUGAACGGCAUAAUCAUCUAAGUUGAAUGGUUAUGCCGAAUAUAUUCCACUGCAUGCAUAAACAUCUAAGUUGAAUGGUUAUGUCGUUGACUGUCUUCGUCGCGGGCUUACUCAUUCAACUUGGAUUGUUGUGCC